rnacentral:rRNA from 1 species
ACAAGCCUGAGAAACGGCUAGUAGGACUAAGGUCUGCAGCAGGCGCGAAACUUACACAAUGCUAGAUUUCAUAUUCGUAGCGAUGUAGUGAAGAAAAAUAACGAUGUGAUUGUAUUUAAACAUACUUUCACAAUUGGAAUGAGACGACUCUAAACCAGUCAGUCGAGUAACAAAUGGAGGGCAAGUCUGGUGCCAGCAGCCGCGGUAAUUCCAGCUCCAUUAGCAUACAUUAAAGUUGUUGCGGUUAAAAAGCUCGUAGUUGAAUUUUUAGCGGGUUCUUGUCGGGUGUGGGCCGUCAAGGGUUGAGUUCGUCUUAGCCUGGUUCACCACCCACUUGGAGCCCGUUGUUUCGUCACUUAAUCGAGUGCGAAGCGGGUCGGCGAGACGCGCCCCUCGGGGUGCUCGCGACGACAUGUUUACCUUGAGAAAAUUAGAGUGCUCAGAGCAGGCAGUUGGGGUCUAACCACCUCUUUAUGCUUGAAUAAUGUUGCAUGGAAUAAUAGAAUACGGCCUCGGUUCUAUUCUGUUGGUCUUAUAGAACAACAAAUAAGUUGGUUUGGGCACAAAACGGCCCUCCCUUGGCGUGGCCAGGUUCGCAGCCAUGUUGUCUGGGGCCUAAAAAUCUCAGUACCUUGCUCGGAUCGGGCCGCUAAGCGCCCUGGGCUGGGUUAGCCCGCAAAUCAACUGAGGCAAUGGUUAAAAGAAAUAGUCGCGGCGGCAUCAGUACUGCAUCGUGAGAG